GCCUGCUGCCAGACACCCUGAAUGUGCCUCAUCUCCUCUGAUUUCAGAAGCUAAGCAGGGUUGGGCCUGGUUAGGACUUGGGUGGGAAAAGAUGAGACGCCAUGUCAGGGGAGGGG
ensembl:rRNA 5S_rRNA 5S ribosomal RNA